GCUGCAAUUAAGGUCUGGUUUGUGGUAUAAUUGGAUGGUACUUUUGUUAUUUAUCCAUGUAUUCGGAUUUAUUAUCAAAUGGCUUGCAUCUUGUAGAUGCAACUCGUGAAUUCUACUUCGCUUUCUCUUUAUGUUGCAUUUUCAAAUGUUAAGACGAUUAUUUUGACGUCAGUAGCUUUUUCUAUAAAAUUGGUGUCUGAAUUCUUGUAAGACGCAAGUUUAAACAGAUUUUAUGGUCUCGAAGAGCAUAAGAACUCUAUAGGACACUUGGGAUGGGAUUGUAAAGAGAGCAAGAUAGACCUUUGGUGUUAGAUAUUUAUACAAUAAAUAUAAUAUGUGAAAGACGUGACUAAUUUAGAUGAAAUGCCCAAUUAGUGAGAAGUUGGAAUUUGUUUGGGAGAUCUGGGUUCGGGUAACAUUCCACGCAAUAAUUUUUUUAUUUAUUUUAAUUAUUUUCGAAACUAUUUAAUAGGUCAAAUUAGCUAGUAUAAUAUGACCUUGUUUCAACAACCUAUUACCCGUAAGCCAUUAAAUGUUGCAAAUAUUUCUGGAUGAUAGUGGAGACAGUGAUGUCCAUUCUACCUAUGUAAACACACGUUUGAUUUUGGAAAAAUUACGUCAAAAACGGAAUUAUCAUUUUCGUAUUCUGUAAUUUUUCAUACUCAAAUUUUUAUAUUUAUAUAUAUAUUUUUGGCGUACAUUUGAGAGUUCUGAAAUCAUUUGUGAUUGUUGCAUAAGUGGUUUGUUUGAUCAUUGUAAGUGAUUGUCCACAGAGGUCGCAGCAAUUAACAAGUGCAAUUUCACUUUAGGACAUUACGAUGUCACGAGACUUGAUGAGUCAGUAAAUUUUAUUUUCUGCAUUUUGCUAUUCUACAAGUUUUUGUAACUAGUUAUCUUUUCAACAGAGUAUACUUGGGAUGGGAUUUUAAAGAGAGCAAGAUGACCUUGGUGCUAUUCGGAUUAGUGCCUUGAAAAGCUGUUUCAUAAAUUAAAUUUCUUAUAAUUUUGUUGGUUGAACUAGAUUUUAGCAACUUCCAAAUCACAAGAAUACUAUAUAUUCCUUCAUCUCAUUUAUAUAAGCUGAUUUUCCUUUUUUUUUUUUGUGGUCCUCGUUAUAUAGUCCUUUUUUUAUUGAGAAUAUUUUGUUUUGUUUGUUUACUAAUGCAUUCUUAUUUAAUUUGUUUAGUUAU
rnacentral:lncRNA from 1 species